CCAGGCUGGUCACCCAGUCAUAGAAGGAGAUGAGGUUGCUCAAGCACAACCUGCCUUUCAUGAACCCGUGCUGGCUGGGCCUGAUCCCCCGGACACCAUGCACAUGCCAUGUGAUCUCAUCCAAGAUGAUUUGCUCCAUGACUUUCCCUGGUACCGAGGUCAGGCUGUUAGGCCUGUAGUUCCCUGGAUCUUCCUUAUGGCCCUUCUUGUAGAUGGGAGUCACAUCGGUAAGCCUCCAAUCCUCUGGGACCUCUCCAGGCAACCAGGAGCACAGGUGGAUGGCAGAAAGUGGCUCAGCAAUCACCCCCGCCAGCUCCCUCAGCACCCGAGGGUGCAGCCCAUCCAGUCCCAUGGACUUGUGACAGUCCAGAUGGAGGAGGAGCUCUCUAACCGUCUCCACCUGAAUCACCAGACCAGCCGUGUAUUCUGUGUAGCAUUCCAGACUUCCAGAUCAAGGCACAGAGUGCCCUGAGGAUAACUGAUCUGCCUAUUAAAGGCAGGUGUAAAGGCGGCAUUGAGGACCUCAGCCUUCUCCUUAUCCUCAGUGGUCACAUUGACAGCUGCAUCAAGUAAAGGAUAGAAAUUCUCCCUGGUUCUUCUCUUAUCGUUGAUAUAUUUAUAAAAAAAUUUCUUAUUCUCUUUUACUGCAGUGGCCAAUCUGAGUUCAAGUUGGGCUUUUGUCUUCCUAACUUCCCCCCGGCAUACCUUAGCAACCUCCUUGUAAUCUCCCCAAGUAGCCUGUGCCUUCUUCCAGAGGACACAGACUCUUUUUUUCUUCUGGAGUCUCAACAACAGUUCCUGGUUCAUCCACACUGGUCUUCUUCCCCUACAGCUUGCUGUAUGGCAUUCAGGAACAGCCUGUUCUUGUGCCUUUAAGAUUUCCAUCUUGAGGAGCGUCCAGGCUUCCUGGACCCCUUAACGCUUCAGGAGUGACUCCCAAGGGACCCCUGCAACAAGCAUCCUGAACAGGUCGAAGUCCGCCCCCUGGUAGUUCAAGCUAACAGUUUUACCAGUCACCCUUCUGACAUCUCCUAGAACAGAGAAUUCUACAAUUUCACGGUUGCUUUGCCCAAGACAUUCCCAACCUUCACACCUCCCAGUAGUCCUUCAGUGUUAGUGAAGAGCAGGUCUAGCAGGGCAAAACCCCUGGUAGGCUCUCGUACCAGCUAUGUAGGGAAGCUAUCUUCCACACCCUCUAGAAAUCUCUUGGUCCGCUUCCUCUGCACUCUAUUAUAUUUCCAGCGUAUAUCAGGGAAGUUGGAAGUCUCCCAUGAGAACAAGUGCUGGCAAUAGCGCAAUUUCUGCAAGCUUAGUGGGAGCUGGGGAAGCAGGGUAGGCAGGCAGGGGGGCUCCCGUGAUACUAAGUUGGGACUCUUUUCCAACUCUCCUCAUCUGUCAGGUCUGCCCGACUGUGACAAGGUGGGGGGUCAACCACUUUUCUGGGGUUUCUCCCUCACACCCUUCCCUUUGACACACCAGUGAGUCACUCCAGCAGUGAAUCUCCCACUCACAUUCCCUCACCUCCUGCUUGAUCCACCAUCAGGCUGAGCAGCUCAUCCACCUGUUCACAUCUCACACAGGUGGAAUCUCUGCUAUCCUCCCCAGGCAGCAGCAGGCUCAGGCAUUCCUUGCAGAUGGAGACCUGAACAGCCACAUUUCUGGGCAGUUUCUCCAUCUGGGUUGCCACAGUUUUCUUGGAAUAAGCCCACUGUCUGGUGGUAACAUGUUUAGGCCUGCAGUCUCAGAGACUGUCAGGAGGAGAGCUGGUUUCCUGAGCAAGGAGGGACAACACCUAGUUCCUCACCACUUGACCCACUUCCCACACCCACAGCUGCAGCACUGUAUGGACGGCGCAGACUAUGCUCGCUCACUGACCCAUUCUCAGUGGGUAGUAACAGUAGUUACUCACCUGCUGUGCUCUCCGAGAUUAUUUAAAGCUUAUCACCAGGUGCCAAGGGCAGGUGAUGACACAUUUGUAGGGUGUUUAAACUCUGCUGCUAAUGCGCCAGCUCCAUCUCUGCUCACUUAGCAGCUUGCCCACAAGCUGUUAGCCCCUACAGGUGCGGCACUAUUGCUGGCUUCAAAAAAAAAGCCUUAAAAAUAGCUUUUUUGUUGGCCUCUAGAUCCCUUGCUCAGUGCAGUCUUACCUGGUUUGAAUCUAGUCUGUGCAGCAAAAUGAAGAUGACACAGAGGAUUUUUUUUAUGAGCACAGAGGAUGAAGCAAUGAUGAGUGAUAAGCUAGAGGUUUAUCAUCAGCUAGAUGUGAGCCCCUGAUUUGACAUCACGGUCAGAAGGACUAGUGUAAUCCACUGUUCCAUAUUCAUAGCAUCAUUCAGCAGGAGUAGAAAAGAAACCUUUAUCAUUUAAUACUAAUGUAUUUUCUAAACCAUAUGAAACCAUUACUGUUUCUGUAGUCAACCUGUGUCAACCUGAUUGUUUGAAAUUUUGACUUUCUCAGAUUUAUUUUGGUAGUCAAUAAAUUGUUAAGUUUGCAUGUAUGAGGUUUUUUUGUUGAAUGUGUUCUAAUCCAAACAAAACUUUAUUGGUCCUGUGGCCUGUGUGGGACAGAAGAUCAAAACUAAAUCAUCACAAUGGUCCUUUCUGAUCUUAAUAUAAUUUCUGUAACUUUGUCAGUUGCAGCUGAGAGCCGUUUUUUAACACUUCUGUGGUCUUUCUUCUAAUAGUAACAAUUUGAAUGGUUUAACAUAGUCCCACUGCUUCCACGGAUACUAAAGGGAUCCAGAGUCUUAAUGGCAAUACUGCCACUGGCCUGCUAUUUUAGAAGAAUAGGUGAAAAACUUAGGAAGUUGCAUACCUCACCACGUCGCCAUCGUCUUCGCUGUCUUCACCACCAUCCUCAUCGCAGCCUCAGGUUAGCCACAGCAGAACGAAGGCUUCGCAAUUGUGUCAGUCUGCAUCCCUCUCCUGGGCUAAACGUAAUCAUGUAGGUCCUGCAAAAGCUACCAGUCCGUCAAUCCGUCUGCGUCGUUGGCGGCCCUUGAUACGCCUUCCAUCUGUUGGGCUUCAUUCUGUUGUAAGUGUAGUCCAUCUUCAGUCUUUUCUUACUCUGACACAGAUGGCAUUCUGCCAGAUACUUCAGUCUUCAAGGCAUCAUAUUAUAAUUUUUGUUGGGAUCCUUUCUCAGCCAUUCUUAGGAUUUUGUUCUUCCUUAUUUUUUUUUUCUUUCCCCCAUAUUGGACAGCAAGAGUACAUCACUCCAUAUUUUGCUGUUCAAGUAUUUUUGAUUCAGGACAUGUGCCAAGUCAUUUUCAAAGUGUAGAUGAAGCUUGCCCUUCAUGAAGUGGCUUUCCUUUUUUGUUGUUGUUGUUGUCCACAGGCUCCAAAUCCAGCUUCUUCUUUUUAUCUCAUCUUCAUGGUCUUUCGUUUGGAUUUGCUAAAGCAAGGGGCUUCUCAUUUCUUGUUGAAUGACAUUAUUUCUUCUAUGUUUGAGAUCUGCCUUAUGUUCUCAUAUCCUAAAAUUAGUCUCCUUUUCUUUCAUUCUGAGUCUUACUUAAUGGUUUUUGAGUGUUUCAAUAUGAUGAAGUGUUUCAUGUAAUUCCAAGGGGCUCACGUACUUUCUCACUUGACAUCUGUUUCUUUAUCCAGUUUCUUUCUAGGCAGACCUUCUAGUUGAAGGUGAAGAUAUUCUAAUAAAUAAAAACUAGUCAUCGAAUGUGCUAAAGCAUUUUUCCUUUUCCUCCUUUUUUUUUCUGUUACCCUGUUGUUUUCUCUUUUUCACUUACAGGGCACAAAUCUAUCUUCAAAAUGUAGAAAAAAAUUGCAUGCACAAAAUAGACAGUAUUUCUAUACUGUGCUAUGGCUACAGUUCAUUUCAAUGCUAAAUUAACCAUGAUGUAACCAAAGAUGGAAGUUACAGCAUAUUAUGAUUAUGCUAGAAACACUGUUAACUACUGUAGUCUUAUUUACUUCGUGAGAUUUCUGAAAUCAACUCCUCAUCCAUUAGCAGUGAGCGUUCUGAUAAUUUACAAACUGUAAUUUAAUUCAAAAAGUAGGUGCCCUUCAAAAGAACUCUAUGUGGCAAAACAAGCUUCUAAGAUAGCACUAAAAUAAUACUCAUUUACUCCACUUUGAUCCUUGAUUCUCCAAUUUGGCAGAUUAAAAUUCUAAGUCCUACAUACAAAAAUUUAUGACUGAAUAUAAUAUAGUGUGAUAUGUGUUGGUAACUAAAAGGUUCUUCUUGUCUUUACAGUUCUUUAUAACAUAUAUUUGGAAAGAUAUGAACCCUGUAUAAAUCAUCAUAAUUUGCAAAAAGCAGGCAGCAUUUUGGGCAUUAGUAGAGCUUAUAAGAAAAUGAUUGAAUUGCUUUUAUUAAAAAUUGACUUAAAUUUAAGGGGUGGUGGGGACAUCCUGUAUACAUUUUCUAAAGUAAUUUUAAGUACAUUUCUAGUCCUAAACACUGACAGAAAAUAAUUGUUUCAAAAUUAAGAGUGGAAGUCAGUGGUAGGAAACUGUUUUUCUGCUCUUUAAAUAAAACCACCUUCCAUAGUUGUAAUUUUCCUUUGAUGUUUUAGAUAAGGUCUCCGGAUAUCUGCAGAACAUACAGUAGAAAAAAAGUAUUCAAAACAUUAUCCUGAAAUGUUCUGUGCACAUCUGAUAAAUUUGCAGUAAACAUGGUGAAUUUCUAAUCUGUGAGUAACAACAUACUUCAUAUAGAAUUUUUCUCAACAGCUGUAAUGAUCUCUUGCUCUUCCAGUUCAUCCGUUCUUGAAGACUAGUGCCUCUGCUCGCCUUGGGAUCAUUUUGUUCCUUUUUAUAUAACACGCUAAUCUCUCCAUAUUCUCUUUUUUUACACUUCUCAAAUAAGAAAACAUGAGCUGUUCUUUUUUUUCUCCCUGAGUGCUCAGCCUUUGAUUCCUGUGUCAGAUUAACAUUCUUAUUUCUUAAAAAUAUAAGGAGUGCAUCUUGAACUGUACGCUGUUGAAUAAUCCAUCUCACUUACAUAUUUACAGACAGAUUUCUGUUUGUGUAAGUAUUCUAUAUCUAGAUUCUCUGGUCACUGAUAGAUCCCAUCUCUAAAUUUCACCUUCUUGUCAUCCUCUCGUUCAAAAUUAGUUGCUGCUGUCCUGCAGCUAGCCUCCCACUUGCAUGUUGUAGCUACAGCUUGAGACAUAAAAUUCAUAAGCUUUAGAGGGACAGUAUGCUAGACAAACAAAUUAGACAAUGUUUAGGAAAGGAGCUUCUUACUCAUUCUUGAGACAGUUGCUCUGCACCUGUCUUUUAUCUAGACAUUGGAUCUUUAUCUGUGGUAAGCUGUGCAUGUUUGGUUUUGAAGCUCUUGAGCAUCUCAAAUGCAGUAAGCUCUCUGUGGUACGUUGAUCAUGAAUAGAGAUGUGACUGUUUUGUGAGAAUUAAUCAGAAAUAAUCUUUCUGAAAUUCGUGAUCAUUAUUCCAGUGGUGAUUGUUUCAACUGCAGUCUUUCAACAAGGAUUCAAAUGCCUAUCACACACACACAGAGUAAAUUUGCUUAAAGGUAGUGUAGGUGCACUUUGUGCCUCAAAAUGGAAAUUACAGAUGCCUAAUCUACCCAGAUGCAAAUGCAUAACUUUUUCCCCUUCAGAACUUAUUGAUCUAAACCAUGCUAAUGUUCUUUUGCACAAACAUCACAUAGAAUAGAUUUUUCUUUGUCUUCUCCUAAUUUAUUGUGAGUGAAAUUGUACACAUAAACUACUAUAGUUUUUAUUCUCUUAGACUUAUUAUUACUUUUAGCUUAAUAAUUCAGUUCAGUUCCUCAAGAUUCUGCAAAAUUAUUUUCCUUAUCAGUCUUUACCUCUUUUCUUUCAGAAUCUGAUAGAUUUUCAAUGUCAUUUUCUUGACUGAAUGCAAAAAGAAGUUUCAUUGGUGUUAUUGUGUUGAGUUUUUGUUUGCUUUUUAUUUUUUUUCCAUGUUUAUUUUUCUGAUUGCUACCUGUAACACAAAGCAUUGUACUAAAUUAGUUUGAGAGGCCUCUUGCCUUGCUCCAUUUUCUUAAGUAGAAAGGAGAAGUAAUAAAAAGAUUCCAUUGGAAGAACCUCUCAUGUAACAUUGAAUCUGGCUUUAUAUUGUGGUCUUUUAUAAAUAAAUUUUAAGCAUAAUGAAGUGAGGAGUUUCUCAAUACGUUCAUAAGAUCAAGACAGAUUUUUUGUUGCUUUUCCCCCCACUGGUGAGUUUGCCCAAGAAAUGCAGAUGAAAGAAGCAUUAUUAGAGAAGCUGAUGUGACGGGGCUUUGUUGACUUAGGAGUGUACUACCAAGUUUCUAAAAGUUUGUGCAACAAGAAGAAUGAAGAAUGUUGUUUGUGAGCAAAGUAAUGAGAAUGUAAUGGUGAAAGGUGAACUCAAAGAGCUUCUUGGUAUGAUGGAAGGUAGGAAAGGAUAUGGUUGACACAGUAGGAAAGUGUAAGAAGUGUUAUUUUAGAAAUUACUGAUGAGAAAUCUGCUAGUGAAAAACGGGGGUACUGUUUUGAUUAUAUGAAGUAAUGCUUGAGAGGUGUAUACAAUUGCUGUCUACUCUGAGAAGUUUAUUUUACUGUUGAAUUGAAAUGUUCAGGCUAGUAGAGAAGGCUGUUAAAUCUUAUGAGAGAUUAGGAAUUGGUCAUUUAAUCACAGAAUCGCAAUAUUGUAAGGGCUGGAAGGGACCUCUAGAGAUGUCCAAAACCCUGACUGUCCCCUCUGUGGACAUUUGGAACACUUUUAGUAAUGAAAAGGCUUUUAUUAUACAGAGAAUGAGAGAGGUUGGAAGGAAGAAAAGAAAAUGGCUGCUAUAGUAUACAUUAUAUGAUGAGAAUGAGGAGUACAAAACGGUUGGAAAGUUGUCUACUGAGUAACUAAAAACAGUGCUAAAAACAGUGAAGUAUGAGAGACUGGGAAUCCAUGAAGUCACACUAUAUUACUAUCAGAAGUUACCUCAACACCCUGAGAACAAAUUGGGAUUGUUGUGUACUUAGAACCAUCACUUUUAAGUGCUAAGCCUUUUUUUUUCUAUUCAAAUCUUCAGGUUAUUAUUUUUCAGCCUUUUUUUUUCAAAGAAGUAGAUUGGAAGAGUGGUUAUAUGAGUCAGUGGACAUCACAACCUGUUCCUUAUACUAAGGGUACAGUCAUAAUGUAAGUUUCUGUAAGCUACCCAAGAUGCUGAUAUAUGUCCUCUAUCUUUUCUGGAUGGGAAAUAAGUGUAAUUUUUUUUUUUAAUUCACUGAGUGGUACAGCUGUUCAGAAGACUUGAAAAGUGAAUCUUGGGUCUUAGAAGUCAGUUCUGAAUCCUAGCUAGACAUUGAUCAUGUUUAGACUUUUAUUUUUUCUUCUUCAAUAUGAUAAUACAAAUCUGCUGUCUCCUAGACAUUGAAUGGGCUUCUGUGUGAAAAACCAAAGGAACAGGUGCUCUCAAACCUAACUGAAGCUGAUAUUAGUAGUCUUUGAGAAGAGUAAACAAGAGAAAAUCCGCCAUAUUUGCUUUUGUAUUAUGACCUAGUGAUGAGCAUACAAGCUGAAUUUUUAGAGCUAUGUUCUCUUCUUCUAAGCAUUCUCACAGGCUUUAUUAAAAGCUGAAAACUUGGCCAAAAGUGUAGCUUUCCACAAUAGACAUCAUGCUGAAGCUGACGUUCUCUGCCCUCUGAAACAGAGGUGAAACAGAGUCUUUUGUACAUUAACUGGUCAUGGAGGACAGUUAACAUCAGUGAGGAUGGGAGGAGGUUGUGUGUGAGAGGGUUCCCCACCUUUUUUCUUUCUUUUUUUUUUUUUUUGUCUUUU